UGGGGAAUAUUGGACAAUGGGGGGAACCCUGAUCCAGCCAUGCCGCGUGUGUGAAGAAGGCCUUAUGGUUGUAAAGCACUUUAAGCGAGGAGGAGGGUACUGGUAUUAAUACUACCAGCUACUGGACGUUACUCGCAGAAUAAGCACCGGCUAACUCUGUGCCAGCAGCCGCGGUAAUACAGAGGGUGCGAGCGUUAAUCGGAUUUACUGGGCGUAAAGCGUGCGUAGGCGGCUAAUUGAGUCGGAUGUGAAAUCCCCGAGCUUAACUGGGGAAUUGCAUUCGAUACUGGUUAGCUAGAGUGUGGGGGAGGAUGGUAGAAUUCCAGGUGUAGCGGUGAAAUGCGUAGAGAUCUGGAGGAAUACCGAUGGCGAAGGCAGCCAUCUGGCCUAACACUGACGCUGAAGUACGAAAGCAUGGGGAGCAAACAGG
rnacentral:rRNA from 1 species